UACGUAGGUGGCAAGCGAUACUCGGAAUCACUAGGCGUAAAGCGCAGGUAGGAGGUUUGGAAAGUCUCUUGUGAAAGCUCCCGGCUUAACUGGGAGAGGUCAAGGGAAACUACCAGGCUGGAGUGCGGUAGAGGUAGCUGGAAUUCCCGGUGUAGCGGUGAAAUGCGUAGAUAUCGGGAGGAAUACCUAUGGCGAAAGCAGGCUACUGGACCGUCAACUGACUCUGAUCUGCGAAAGCUAGGGGAGCAAACAGG
rnacentral:rRNA from 1 species